rnacentral:rRNA from 1 species
UACAGAGGGGGCAAGCGUUGUUCGGAAUUACUGGGUGUAAAGGGUUCGUAGGCGGUGUGGCAAGUCGGGAGUGAAAUCUCUGGGCUCAACCCAGAGUCUGCUUCCGAAACUGCUGUGCUUGAGUGUGGGGAGAGGCGCGUGGAAUUGCAGGUGUAGCGGUGAAAUGCGUAGAUAUCUGCAGGAACACCCGUGGCGAAAAGCGGCGCGCUGGACCACUACUGACGCUGAGGAACGAAAAGCUAGGGGGAGCAAAACAGG